AAAGUAAUCAAGUAGGUAAAAACAAGGUUUUGUAAAGCAUUGUUACAAGUUCGAAUCUUGUCUUCU
rnacentral:tRNA from 1 species